rnacentral:rRNA from 1 species
AUUGAACGCUGGCGGCAGGCCUAACACAUGCAAGUCGAGCGAGCGGCGGACGGGUGAGUAAUGUCUGGGAAACUGCCUGCUGGAGGGGGAUAACUACUGGAAACGGUAGCUAAUACCGCAUACCAUCAGAUGUGCCCAGUUGGGAUUAGCUAGGAGGUGGGUUAACGGCUCACCUAGGCCACGAUACAUAGCUGGUCUGAGAGGAUGACCAGCAUCACGUGAACGGAGACAGGCUCCAGACUCCUACGGGGGGCAGCAGUGGGGAAUAUUGCACAAUGGGCGCAAGCCGGAUGCAGCCCUGCGGCUUAUGUGAAGAAGGCCUUGGGGUUUUAAAGCACGUUCAGCGGGGAGGCGUUACCCGCAGAAGAAGCACCGGCUAACUCCGUGCCAGCAGCCGCGGUAAUAC